UAUGUGAUCGUCUCUCGCAUAUCAAUAAGCGGAGGAAAAGAAACUAACAAGGAUUCCCCUAGUAACGGCGAGUGAAGCGGGAAGAGCUCAAAUUUGAAAUCUUAAAGGGUUUCCCUUUACGAAUUGUAGUUUAAAGAAGUGUUUUCUGUUGAGGUUUUGGCUAAAAGUUCUUUGGAAUAGGACAUCAUAGAAGGGUGAGAAUCCCGUAUUUGACCUUUACUUUCAACUUUGUGAUACACUUUCAAAGAGUCGGAUUGUUUGGGAAUGCAGUCCAAAAUGGGUGGUAAAUUUCAUCUAAAGCUAAAUGUUGGCGAGAGACCGAUAGCGAACAAGUACCGUGAGGGAAAGAUGAGAAGAACUUUGAAAAGAGAGUUAAGACAGUACGUGAAAUUGUCAAAAGGGAAGCGUUUGACACCAGUGUUGUUUUUCUGAAAAUCAAUUAAAGAACUGUUUAUGCUAAGUUGUUUAGACUUUAUCAGCUAACUGUUUAGUUUUGAGCUUUUCUUUAAUGCACUUUUCAGUUAACAAGUCAACAUCAAUUUCUUUUGCUGUAAAAAAGCUUGAGGAAGGUGGCUUGAGAUUCGUCUUAAGUGUUUAUAGCCUCUUGCCUAUGCAGUCGGAGAGAUUGAGGUCUGCAGCGUAGAUCCUUCGGGGCUAAAUGCAUUUGUGCUAAGUUAUAGCAUUUUAUAGACAACUUGUUGACUAUGAUUUGUCUUGUAGCUUACUCGCUUAUGUUACUUUUACCUACGCUUAGGAUGUUGAGUCAUCACACAUCUCU
rnacentral:rRNA from 1 species